rnacentral:tRNA from 1 species
CUCCCCUUGAUGUAGUUGGUUCAUCACGUUCGACUGUAAUUGUUCGUCUCUUGUCAUCGAAAGGUCUCUAGUUCGAUUCUGGAAGGGGAGA